AUUGAACGCUGGCGGCAGGCUUAACACAUGCAAGUCGAACGAGAACGGAAUAUAGCUUGCUAUAUUUGUCGGCUAAGUGGCGCACGGGUGAGUAAUGUAUAGAUAACCUGCCCUUAAGAAAGGAAUAACAGUUGGAAACGACUGCUAAUGCCCUAUAUGCCUUUAAUACAUAAGUAUGCAAGGGAAACGCUUUAGUGCUUAAGGAUGGGUCUGUAUGGUAUCAGCUUGUUGGUGAGGUAAUGGCUCACCAAGGCUAUGACGCCUAACUGGUUUGAGAGGCUGAGCAGUCACACUGGAGCUGCGACACGGUCCAGACUACUACGGGAGGCAGCAGUGGGGAAUAUUGCACAAUGGACGAAAGUCUGAUGCAGCAACGCCGCGUGGAGGAUGACACAUUUCGGUGCGUAAACUCCUUUUAUAUAGGAAGAUAAUGACGGUACUAUAUGAAUAAGCACCGGCUAACUCCGUGCCAGCAGCCGCCGUAA
rnacentral:rRNA from 1 species